UCNGGAUUUAUUGGGCGUAAAGGGAGCGCAGGCGGUCAGGAAAGUCUGGAGUAAAAGGCUAUGGCUCAACCAUAGUGUGCUCUGGAAACUGUNUGACUUGAGUGCAGGAGGGGAGAGUGGAAUUCCAUGUGUAGCGGUGAAAUGCGUAGAUAUAUGGAGGAACACCAGUGGCGAAAGCGGCUCUCUGGUCUGUCACUGACGCUGAGGCUCGAAAGCGUGGGUAGCGAACAGGAUUAGAUACCCUGGUAGUCCACGCCGUAAACGAUGAGUGCUAGGUGUUAGGCCCUUUCUGGGGCUUAGUGCCGGAGCUAACGCAAUAAGCACUCCGCCUGGGGAGUACGACCGCAAGGUUGAAACUCAAAGGAAUUGACGGGGGCCCGCACAAGCGGUGGAGCAUGUGGUUUAAUUCGAAGCAACGCGAAGAACCUUACCAGGUCUUGACAUCCCGAUGCUAUUCUUAGAGAUAGGAAGUUACUUCGGUACAUCGGAGACAGGUGGUGCAUGGUUGUCGUCAGCUCGUGUCGUGAGAUGUUGGGUUAAGUCCCGCAACGAGCGCAACCCUUAUUGUUAGUUGCCAUCAUUAAGUUGGGCACUCUAGCGAGACUGCCGGUAAUAAACCGGAGGAAGGCGGGGAUGACGUCAAAUCAUCAUGCCCCUUAUGACCUGGGCUACACACGUGCUACAAUGGUCGGUACAACGAGUUGCGAGCCGGUGACGGCAAGCUAAUCUCUGAAAGCCGAUCUCAGUUCGGAUUGGAGGCUGCAACUCGCCUCCAUGAAGUCGGAAUCGCUAGUAAUCGCGGAUCAGCACGCCGCGGUGAAUACGUUCCCGGGCCUUGUAC
rnacentral:rRNA from 1 species